CACACAAACAUCUACAGAGAUUUAUUCCUCCUGGUUCACUGAAGGCUUUGUCUUUAAGAUCUGACACGUCUGGAGUSUGAAGCAGGAUGGRAGAAACAUGGAGGAAACUGUUAUUAUUUUAACAUCAUCAGAUCCUCCUGGAAUGACAGCAGACGUUCCUGCCAACAUCUGGGAUCAGACCUGGUGAAGAUCGACAGCAGAGAGGAGCAGGUGUUCCUGGAUACCAGACUGAGAGGCAUGUUGAGGAGCUACUGGGACAAGUUCUGGAUCGGACUGACAGACUCAGAGGAAGAAGGCAAAUGGCUCUGGGUGGACGGAUCAGCUGUGGAUGAAAGGUUUUGGACAUCCUGGGAGCCUGAUGACUGGAAGGAGAAAUAUCCAGCUGGAGAGGACUGUGCAGCGAUUGGGAAGACAGAAGAAGACAAUGAUCUGAUGGGUUGGUUUGAUCAGUUCUGUGAUCUUCAAUGGAGAAGCAUCUGUGAGAUAUAAGCAAACCUCCCUAAACCAACUGUGAAGAAUCUGUUUGUUUUAAAGUUUAAUCACUAAACAGAAAGUCUGUACUUUAAACAUGCAGUUUGAUCUUUAUUCUUCCUCUAAU